GAACUGCGAUAAGUAAUGUGAAUUGCAGAAUUCAGUGAAUCAUCGAAUCUUUGAACGCACCUUGCGCUCCUUGGUAUUCCUUGGAGCAUGCCUGUUUGAGUAUCAUGAAAUCUUCAAAGUAAAUCUUUUGUUAACUCAAUUGGUUUCUACUUUGGUAUUGGAGGUCUUUGCAGCUUCACACCUGCUCCUCUUUGUUCAUUAGCUGGAUCUCAGUGUUAUGCUUGGUUCCACUCGGCGUGAUAAGUUAUCUAUCGCUGAGGACACUGUAAAAGGUGGCCAAGGUAAAUGCAGAUGAACCGCUUCUAAUAGUCCAUUGACUUGGACAAUACUUUUAUGAUCUGAUCUCAAAUCAGGUAGGACUACCCGCUGAACUUAAG
rnacentral:misc_RNA from 1 species